rnacentral:rRNA from 1 species
GACGAACGCUGGCGGCGUGCUUAACACAUGCAAGUCGAACGGAAAGGCCCUGCUUUUGUGGGGUGCUCGAGUGGCGAACGGGUGAGUAACACGUGAGUAACCUGCCCUUGACUUUGGGAUAACUUCAGGAAACUGGGGCUAUUACCGGAUAGGAGCCCCUGCUGCAUGGUGGGGGUUGGAAAGUUUCGGCGGUUGGGGAUGGACUCGCGGCUUAUCAGCUUGUUGGUGGGGUAGUGGCUUACCAAGGCUUUGACGGGUAGCCGGCCUGAGAGGGUGACCGGCCACAUUGGGACUGAGAUACGGCCCAGACUCCUACGGGAGGCAGCAGUGGGGAAUAUUGCACAAUGGGCGGAAGCCUGAUGCAGCAACGCCGCGUGCGGGAUGACGGCCUUCGGGUUGUAAACCGCUUUCGCCUGCGACGAAGCGUGAGUGACGGUAAUGGGUAAAGAAGCACCGGCUAACUACGUG